UGCUUUCGCAGUGGUUCUCCCAGCACGCAGCUGGAGAUCUGAGAACGGGCAGACUGCCUCCUCAAGUGGGAGUGAAAGUGUAGCUCCUCACUGGGCCCUGUGACAUGGAGAGGGUGGUGGGUAGUGAAGCCUACUGGUGGCAAGCACCAGCCCCGACCACCUCAUUAAGUCUUAUUGCUGCUAGGUAAAACUCAAGGUUUAGCUCACCACUGAAUACCACUGAAGUGA
rnacentral:lncRNA from 1 species